rnacentral:rRNA from 1 species
GACAGAGGGUGCAAACGUUGUUCGGAUUUACUGGGCGUAAAGCGUGUGUAGGCGGCUUUGCAAGUCGGAUGUGAAAUCCCACGGCUCAACCGUGGAAGUGCAUCCGAAACGGCAUCGCUUGAGUCCCGGAGAGGAAGGUGGAAUGCUUGGUGUAGAGGUGAAAUUCGUAGAUAUCAAGCAGAACACCUGCGGCGAAGGCGGCCUUCUGGACGGUGACUGACGCUGAGACACGAAAGCGUGGGGAGCAAACAGG